CCUACGGGUGACUGCAGUGAGGAAUAUUGGUCAAUGGGCGCGAGCCUGAACCAGCCAAGUAGCGUGAAGGAUGACUGCCCUACGGGUUGUAAACUUCUUUUAUAAAGGAAUAAAGUGAGGCACGUGUGCCUUUUUGUAUGUACUUUAUGAAUAAGGAUCGGCUAACUCCGUGCCAGCAGCCGCGGUAAUACGGAGGAUCCGAGCGUUAUCCGGAUUUAUUGGGUUUAAAGGGAGCGUAGAUGGGUUGUUAAGUCAGUUGUGAAAGUUUGCGGCUCAACCGUAAAAUUGCAAUUGAUACUGGCAGCCUUGAGGACAGAUGAGGUAGGCGGAAUUCGGGGUGUAGCGGUGAAAUGCUUAGAUAUCACGAAGAACUCCGAUUGCGAAGGCAGCUUACUAAACUGCCACUGACAUUGAUGCUCGAAAGUGUGGGUAUCAAACAGGAUUAGAUACCCCUGUGUC
rnacentral:rRNA from 1 species